GAAGAUCCCACAAUCUGAAGGCUUCCCAGGAGGUCUGCUACAGCCAGGGCCACAAGUUUCUCAGGAGACCUGCAGCAACCCAAGGUCACAGGAGGCAGGCUCCAGACAGAGACACCAAGACCAGCUACGAGCAGAGAUAAUCGGACGGCAAGAUGAAAGCGCAAGACCACAAGCAACAGAAGGCAAUAUACUUUGACAUCAUCAUACCCAGUUCUUCCACCACAGCAAGACCUGGAUUAACCAGCACACCUGAAAACCUGGAUGCUGAUCUAUAAUCCUAUCUCAUGAAGCUAAUAGAGUCCUUUAAGGAGGAUAUAAAUAACCCACUGAAAGAAAUACAGGAAAGCACAGGUAAACAGAUAGAAGCUCUUAAAGAGGAAACAGAUCCCUUAAAGAAUACAGGAAAGCACAAUCAAACAGGUGAUGGAAUUGAAAACAAAGCUGUCUAAGACCUAAAAGUGGAAGUAGGAACAAUAAAGAAAACACAAAUGCAGACAGACAUGAAAAUUGAAAUGGUCUUUGCUAUUCUUUAAUAAGAUCUGUUUUCCUUCUGCCUUUUUUCUUUGCUACUGGGAUAUUUGCAUUUCUUGUGUAUUCUGGAUAUUAGUGCUUUACCAUAUUUGUAGUAAGUACACUCCCCCAAUCAUAGGUUCUGUGUUAUAGAAGUGGCAUUUACUUCUCUUUGGCUUGUUAUUUAAAGUAAUGACAUGGUUAUAAUUAAGCUGCCAUCAGCUGUCUCUUGGCCACUUCCUUCCCAUGCAGAGCUUGGUAAUCGGAUACAUGCUAUGUGUUUGUUUUGUUCUGCUUUAUGGCUUUUGGUAUCAUAUCCCAACAGUUUUACUUAUAGUGAGACAGAAGACUUUUUCUGCUGUUUGCUUUUAGUAAUCCUACAGUUUCAAGUCUUCUGUUUACAUUUCAGUGUUGAUUUGAGUUUAGUAUCUGGUAUGAGAUGAGGGUCAAAUUUCAUUUUUAGAAUAUGGAUAUCUAGUUUCCCAGCACCAUUUAUCAAAGACACCUCCUUUUCUCUGGAUCAUGUUUUUGUUUUUGUUUUCAUUGGAAUUUGCUUGUUCUUAAAUAUUUGGAUUUAUUUGGGGGCUCUCUGCUCUGGCCAUUGGCAUAUGUGUUUCUGUCACAGUGUGAUGAUAACAGGCUUGGAGGAGACUUUGAUGUCAUGUAAUAUAAUACCUCUGGCUUUGUUCUUUUUGCUUAAGAAUGAGAGAAUUAUUUAUGAAGAGAAUUAUUGAGAGGUCAUUUACUGUGUCACAUGACUUUUCACAUUUCCUUCUUUUCUAGUUACUAUCACAGUGACCUUGGAGUUUUAACAGAGAUUAUAUUGAAGUUAGAGAUCAUUUAGGGGAUAUUAUGAACAUUUUUGUAAUACUAAUUCUUCCAAAUCAUAAACAUGGAGUGUAUUUAUUUAUUUGUGUCAUUUCAAUUUUUUUAUCAAUAUUUUACAGAUUUUAGAAUAUAUAUCUUUUACUUUCACGAUUAAUAUGUUCCAAAAUAUUUUGUUGCUACCUAUUUUAUUCCGAAGGUUAACCUUAAUUGUCAAGUUGCCAUGACCUUGUGUGAUGUAGGAAGAGCCUCAUUGCAUGAAUGGGUUCUCUUAAUCAAGUUCAUUCAUGUGGGGGGACCCAGUCCCUGUUGGAAGAGUCAUUCCCUAAACAGGCUCCUGAAUGAUUCAGUAGCAAAGAAAUUGAAUUGAGCACAAGCAAGAAAACAACAGGGCAUGCAUGGAUUCAUUCUCUCUGCUCUGGACUAGGGGUGUGAUAUGAAACACUGUUUUAACUUACCUGAGGAGGACAGUAACUUGUAACUGUGAGCUGAAACAAACUGUCACCCACCCCUUUUUUUGUCAAGAUAUGGCAGUCAUAGCAACAGAACUGAAGCUAGAACAAUUAUUUUCUCGCUUUCUUUUUCAGAUAGUUCAUUUGUAGUAAACACCACUGAUGUUUAUAUUGUAUUGGUAUCUACUAGAUAUGUUAGCUUAACAUCUUUAUUAGUGGAAUUCCUGGGGUUUUUCUAUCUAUAAGGACACGUGGCUUGCAAACAGAGACAACAUGGCUUUCUUCUUUAUGGUUCAAUUAAUUUUAUUUCCUUAUUUUGUACAAUUCUCUAUCUGGGUCAUGGAGUGACCAUGGCCAAUAGCCUGAUUUCUCCUGUGGUGAUGUGAAGAAUGUCUCUUCACAUCAGACUGACUACUAAUGACAAAGACCAGAGAAACAAUUUUUCAGAAAUUUCUCCAGAGUCCAUCUUAGGGAUCAGGUGAGUUUACUGUAUUUACUUAUAGGAGUUUGCAUGAGUUGUCACUUACAGAAAACUGGUAGUGUCAUCACUGAAAAACCCAGUGACAACUCAUAAAGGCUGUACCCCUAGGGAUCCCUGCACAACUUUCUGGCAACUCAACCUGCUGGGAAGUCUCCUCUCCCUAGUAAUUCUUACUGUAUACAUAAACUUGGGAGGGAUUUGUGAAUUUUGUAAGUUUCUGGGCUUCCUGAACCUUUUGACUUUCAUGAGCUCUGUUCCCACGUCCCAGAAAUCUUUCAGUUGUAGGAAACGGCUACAUAAAACUGACAUACAGUAUUAUGUGGAGUAGAUGUGGUGAUUGUAGGCCUCCUUGUUGAUUCUUGACCU
rnacentral:lncRNA from 1 species